rnacentral:rRNA from 1 species
GAUGAACGCUAGCUACAGGCUUAACACAUGCAAGUCGAGGGGAAACGGCAUUAAGUGCUUGCACUUUUUGGACGUCGACCGGCGCACGGGUGAGUAACGCGUAUCCAACCUUCCCAUGACUAAGGGAUAACCUGCCGAAAGGCAGACUAAUACCUUAUGGUCUUCACUGACGGCAUCAGAUGUGAAGUAAAGAUUUAUCGGUUAUGGAUGGGGAUGCGUCUGAUUAGCUUGUUGGCGGGGUAACGGCCCACCAAGGCAACGAUCAGUAGGGGUUCUGAGAGGAAGGCCCCCCACAUUGGAACUGAGACACGGUCCAAACUCCUACGGGAGGCAGCAGUGAGGAAUAUUGGUCAAUGGGCGAGAGCCUGAACCAGCCAAGUAGCGUGCAGGAUGACGGCCCUAUGGGUUGUAAACUGCUUUUGUAUGGGGAUAAAGUCAAUCACGUGUGAUUGUUUGCAGGUACCAUACGAAUAAGGACCGGCUAAUUCCGUG